GGAUAGCUCAGUCAGUAGAGCAUGAGACUCUUAAUCUGAUGGUCAUGGGUUUGAGCCCCACGUUGGGCA